CCUACGGGUGGCAGCAGUGAGGAAUAUUGGUCAAUGGGCGCGAGGCUGAACCAGCCAAGUCGCGUGAGGGAAGAAGGUCCUAUGGAUUGUAAACCUCUUUUGUCGGGGAGCAAAAGACGCCACGCGUGGCUUUCCGAGAGUACCCGAAGAAAAAGCAUCGGCUAACUCCGUGCCAGCAGCCGCGGUAAUACGGAGGAUGCGAGCGUUAUCCGGAUUUAUUGGGUUUAAAGGGUGCGCAGGCGGAAGAUCAAGUCAGCGGUAAAAUUGAGGGGCUCAACCUCAUCGAGCUGUUGAAACUGGUUUUCUUGAGUGAGUGAGAAGUAUGCGGAAUGCGUGGUGUAGCGGUGAAAUGCAUAGAUAUCACGCAGAACUCCGAUUGCGAAGGCAGCAUACCGGCGCUCAACUGACGCUGAUGCACGAAAGUGUGGGUAUCGAACAGGAUUAGAUACCCGAGUAGUC
rnacentral:rRNA from 1 species